UUGACAGUAUGUAAAGCUGCAGCCACUAUUAAUCCAGAGAACAAGAACAGCACAGACAACAGCAAUCUGAGCUUUUCUGACCUUGCCUGAUCAAUGUGUCUUGACUCUGACGUGGAGGGACUACUUUAAGGGAGGGAGAGGAUAAUUCACUUUGUGCCCAUUCAGACCUUAGCCCGU
ensembl:misc_RNA